rnacentral:rRNA from 2 species
UGAACCUUUACUAUAGCUUGACACUGAACAUUGAGCCUUGAUGUGUAGGAUAGGUGGGAGGCUUUGAAGCGUGGACGCCAGUCUGCGUGGAGCCGACCUUGAAAUACCACCCUUUAAUGUUUGAUGUUCUAACGUGGACCCGUAAUCCGGGUUGCGGACAGUGUCUGGUGGGUAGUUUGACUGGGGCGGUCUCCUCCUAAAGAGUAACGGAGGAGCACGAAGGUUGGCUAAUCCUGGUCGGACAUCAGGAGGUUAGUGCAAUGGCAUAAGCCAGCUUGACUGCGAGCGUGACGGCGCGAGCAGGUGCGAAAGCAGGUCAUAGUGAUCCGGUGGUUCUGAAUGGAAGGGCCAUCGCUCAACGGAUAAAAGGUACUCCGGGGAUAACAGGCUGAUACCGCCCAAGAGUUCAUAUCGACGGCGGUGUUUGGCACCUCGAUGUCGGCUCAUCACAUCCUGGGGCUGAAGUAGGUCCCAAGGGUAUGGCUGUUCGCCAUUUAAAGUGGUACGCGAGCUGGGUUUAGAACGUCGUGAGACAGUUCGGUCCCUAUCUGCCGUGGGCGCUGGAGAACUGAGGGGGGCUGCUCCUAGUACGAGAGGACCGGAGUGGACGCAUCACUGGUGUUCGGGUUGUCAUGCCAAUGGCACUGCCCGGUAGCUAAAUGCGGAAGAGAUAAGUGCUGAAAGCAUCUAAGCACGAAACUUGCCCCGA